rnacentral:rRNA from 1 species
UACGUAGGGGGCAAGCGUUGUCCGGAAUCAUUGGGCGUAAAGAGCGCGUAGGCGGUCCGGUAAGUCCGCUCUGAAAGUCCGGGGCUCAACCCCGGGAGGCGGGCGGAUACUGCCGGGCUAGAGUCCGGAAGAGGCGAGUGGAAUUCCUGGUGUAGCGGUGAAAUGCGCAGAUAUCGGGAAGAACACCCGUGGCGAAGGCGGCUCUCUGGGACGGUACUGACGCUGAGACGCGAAAGCGUGGGGAGCGAACAGG